GCACAUCUGCUGGUGGGUUCAACAAAAGGGGCUCCCUUUAAAGAAGAAGACUGAGAAGCUGGAAUGAAUCCAGAGGAAAGGAUGAAAAGCACUCGUUUGAUUACUGAGAGGAUAGCUGGAGAAGUGAAGAAUAAUGUGAUGUUCAGCUCAAACUCCUUGGGGGAAUUCGGUUGUGAAAAUGGAAUUACCCAAGUUGGAUUCCGCCCAGGAUGCCAAGCUUAAGUUAUUGGAUGCACAGUACCUGCAGAGGAUGUACAACGGUGAGCAGGGCAAAUGGGCAAACAGAUGUCAUGGCUCCACAGUACUCGGGGCUGCAAGCUGUGUGGCUGAGGGCUGUUCCUGCCUCGUCCUGUCAACUCAGAGAACCUUCUCCCAGCCAAAGUUAUAAAUUCUUUUCUAGGAAUUUCUCAGCCCUGGAUUUCCCCUUUUGCUUUUUAGUUUCUCAUCCUGAGUUGGCUCAGUCUCUUCUUCAGACUUGCCUAAAAACUCCCCUUUUAGUGUUGAGCCUUGAAUAAAUUUUUGUCUGCUGCCACGGCUGAGUCACUGCCUAGGUGCUGUGUCCAUACUGUCUCUAGAAGGCUGCCUGGCCCUGGGGCUGAGAGGAAGCAGCGUCCAGCCAGACACCCACACUUUCAGACAGAGCCGCUUCUGAGAAGCAGUGGGAGCCAACUGGGUACAAGUCACAAGGGUAAGCACCACAGAGAAAUACAGAGAUAAACAAGUCUUGGUUUCUGCACUCACUGGGCCUCCAACUUUGGAAAGAAAGAUAUGAUAAGUCCUAAAACAACCAUAAUCCAAGUGGUAAGUGUCCUAAAUAAUGAGGCAGGUAGAAAGUGUUAAGAGAAAGUCUAAAUAAGUCUUGAAAACUCUUUAAAAAGUCUCAUGGAUUUUAAUACAUGCAGGGCCCUAGAUUGGAUUUGGAUGGACGGACUGACAACAGAAAGGGCAUUUCUAUGAAUAUCCCAAUACUCUGUGUGCCCCGUCUGAUCAAAGUACAUAAAUAGAGUAAGUAUAACUCCUUUAUUAUUGAGCCUACUUAAAGCAUUUGUAGAAUCCUGGAUAAAUUUUUGUAUAAUUUUUUUCCUCCCUGUAUAUAUAAGAAAAAAAAUGAUUCUAAACAUUUGAAAACAACCCAGAAUGCAACUUUUGUCUUACAGUUGUUUACCAUAGUGUAGUGCUGUGCUAUUAAGAAUAUCCACGCAGGAUAUAGUUUGGCAGGUGGGGAGAUGGGGAGGGGGAUGGAGAAUGUCAUUAUCAGUUUUUCCCAUAAGAUUUUGAAGUUAACUUCCUGGCAUUUUUGAUGCAAGUUCUUGAUCAGAUUUAUAACUGAAGCACUUAAUAGUCACUAGCAGUUUCUGAGUUAGGGAACGUUACCUGAAAAUAAUUACCUAGCUGGUUUGCAGUACUUCAGAUUUGAUUAUUAUUAUUAUUAUUAUUAUUAUUAUU
rnacentral:lncRNA from 10 species